ensembl:snoRNA U8 U8 small nucleolar RNA
UCGUCAGGUAGGAUAAACCUUACCUGUUCCUCCUUUCGGAGGACAGAACAGAACAUGAUGAUUGGAGCUCGCAUGAUUCGCGAUUAGCGGCUACGCGUAAUCAGGCCUUGCAAAAUGUACAUCUUCCCGGGGGUUGCACUCAGUA